rnacentral:rRNA from 1 species
GCCGAAUGGGGGUAGGCUCACAGACGCGCGAGGAGCGGUCGCGAGGGUGUGCAACCUUCGGGGAACGAUGACGGCGUCCAGCGGCGGACGGGGGAGUAAUGCCUAGGAAAUUGCCCUGAUGUGGGGGAUAACCAUUGGAAACGAUGGCUAAUACCGCAUGAUGCCUACGGGCCAAAGAGGGGGACCUUCGGGCCUCUCGCGUCAGGAUAUGCCUAGGUGGGAUUAGCUAGUUGGUGAGGUAAGGGCUCACCAAGGCGACGAUCCCUAGCUGGUCUGAGAGGAUGAUCAGCCACACUGGAACUGAGACACGGUCCAGACUCCUACGGGAGGCAGCAGUGGGGAAUAUUGCACAAUGGGCGCAAGCCUGAUGCAGCCAUGCCGCGUGUGUGAAGAAGGCCUUCGGGUUGUAAAGCACUUUCAGUCGUGAGGAAGGUAGUGUAGUUAAUAGCUGCAUUAUUUGACGUUAGCGACAGAAGAAGCACCGGCUAACUCCGUGCCAGCAGCCGCGGUAAUACGGAGGGUGCGAGCGUUAAUCGGAAUUACUGGGCGUAAAGCGCAUGCAGGUGGUUUGUUAAGUCAGAUGUGAAAGCCCGGGGCUCAACCUCGGAAUUGCAUUUGAAACUGGCAGACUAGAGUACUGUAGAGGGGGGUAGAAUUUCAGGUGUAGCGGUGAAAUGCGUAGAGAUCUGAAGGAAUACCGGUGGCGAAGGCGGCCCCCUGGACAGAUACUGACACUCAGAUGCGAAAGCGUGGGGAGCAAACAGGAUUAGAUACCCUGGUAGUCCACGCCGUAAACGAUGUCUACUUGGAGGUUGUGGCCUUGAGCCGUGGCUUUCGGAGCUAACGCGUUAAGUAGACCGCCUGGGGAGUACGGGUCGCAAGAUUA